AAAGGACGCGUAGGCGGGAUAUCAAGUCAGGUGUGAAAUCCUAUGGCUCAACCAUAGAACUGCACUUGAAACUGGUAACCUAGAGUAUGGGAGGGGGAGAUGGAAUUAGUGGUGUAGGGGUAAAAUCCGUAGAUAUCACUAGGAAUACCGAAAGCGAAGGCGAUCUCCUGGAACAUUACUGACGCUAAGGCGUGAAAGCGUGGGGAGCAAACAGGAUUAGAUACCCUAGU
rnacentral:rRNA from 1 species